rnacentral:lncRNA from 1 species
AGCCAUGAGCCUUUUUGAAAUAAUAAUAUUGUCGACCCCCAGUUGUAUGUGCCCAAGGAGAUGGCAAACUUGAGAAACAAGAAUAAUCCUUUCAGCUGGUUUAAAGCUGAGCCCUCACCCUUGGAAUUAAGAAACUGACAAAGGAUGCAAGUUCUUGGUUUAAGGAGCCAAUGGUGUGGUUCCCAGGGACCCCCCCAAAUACACUUCCAAUCUGUUUCUGGAGGACCUGACCUGUAACUCCUGACAAUAUGUUCUGAAUGCUGAAGGAUGGAGAUACACUUUGGAGUAAGAUUCAUAUGAACUUUCAUAAAUUCUUGGGCCAAUGGACUCAAGCCCCUCAUUCAAAGUAAACACCAGAAGAGACUUGGUGUUUUGUGAAAUGGCACAUUCCAAAAUCUCUGUCACUGAGAAAAGGAUGUAAGCUCAGGAUCAAAGCAUCGUCUUCAAAGAAGGGAGACAAGGGAGGAAUGUGUUUUGCUGUUUUGGAUUUCAAGAAAUGAAACAGAAACAAGAGCUGGUUUCUUGAUAACUUUGUUCUUCUACGCUAUGGUCUGUAGAAUGAUACAGUUUCUAGUUUAAUUGGUCUGUGACCUGCAGACCCCUGUGUAAGACUCUUCCAGCUUUGAACAUACCAAAGAAAAUUUUAAAAGAAGAGGGGAGAAAAAAGGAGAAAAGUCUGCAUAUUGGCUCAUCAGAAGAGCUAACACGAAAUUCUGGAGAGCAUUCUUGGCAGCUGGGAAAGAAGCUGCCAUAUGCACAUGUUAAGAGGCUCAAACUUGGCCAGGCACAGUGGCUCACGCCUGUAAUCCCAGCACUUUGGGAGGCCGAGGCAGGUGGAUCACGACGUCGGGAGUUCAAGACCAGCCUGGCCAAGAUGGUGAAACCCCAUCUCUACUAAAAACCCCAAAAAAUUAGCUGGGUGUGGUGGUGGGUACCUGCAAUCCCAGCUACUCGGGAGGCUGAAGCAGAGAAUUGCUUGAACUCAGGAGGCGGACGUUGCAGUGAGCUGAGAUUGUGCCACUGCACUCCAGCCUGGGCAACAGAGCGAGACUACAUCUCAAAAAUAAUAAUAAAAAAAAAAAAAGAGAAAGAGGCUCAAACUUGUCUUUUAAAAAGUGAAGUGCCUUGCCUUGUCCUACACCGUGGCCUCUCCUUGGACACAAACAGGCGGGGAGUGUUUAAGAUAACAGCAUUGCAGAGUGCAAACGGCCCCCAAAGUGGAGCCAGAGGAACCUAUGAGAUCAUUUGGAAAAGCUUGUGAAUUCACUGCCAUUUGCCUACUUGGCUUCGGAUGAAAAGCAAAUCUUAAAGCUGCUCAAAAUGUGUCUGAUUCAUCUGUAACUGAGAAUGAGACCAAUCAGGGAUAAGAAGUGAGUAAAAUCCUUGUGAUCACAGAGCCAAGAGAGCCUAUUUUAAAGCACUUAAUGUAUUUUU